rnacentral:lncRNA from 1 species
UCAGAGUCAUGGGUUUUGAAAGAAACUAAUAAAUCAUCUAUGACUCAGAAAGCAAUUUUAGCCUUGAAGAACACCUGUUUGUUUGGUUGGGUAGGAUUACUAUGAAAUUCUCGUGCUUUGAGAAAGUACAGUGCUCCAGCUGCAGGAAAGGGGAAAUGAUAUUUGGCAGAAUGGGAGCAUGCAGACGUCUUUUGUGAGGCUGUGUACGGUGUGUAGGAUGGAGUGACAAGAGCCCUGAGUGAAAGAUUCAUUGUCUUUGAAUAUGGCCUGCUUAGAAACCUUUCUUCAUUCUAUGCCACAUCAGGGUUACAUAUCUCACUGGGGAAGAUAAAGAGCGGCUCCAAACGGAUGUUGGUCGGGAAGGGGGAAAUCUUUUGUUCCCAAAUUCCUUUCAAAUUCCUGGAUGAAAGCCACUCUGUCCUGGUGUGCAAAUGUAAG